rnacentral:lncRNA from 1 species
UUCAAGACCAAGAGAGGGUAGAAAUUAACAAAAUAGUUCUGAAAUCUCUCAAUUUAAAAAUUUCUUAAAAUUAGAAUGAAUCUUUCCUAAAAAUCUUUUUUGAAGCUUAAAUCUGGAAUUCCAAUUCCAGAUGUUUUUUUUCAAUUUCCAUGUGCAUACAUAUUAUUUAAAACAUGUCAAACCAGAGCAUGGAUCAUGCCUAUUUAUAAUCAGCAAUGCCAGAAAGAAAGAAAAACAUUAUGAGGAAAUUUAUUCACACACAUAAGAUUCUCAGAGUAACUUGAACAGCCUGCAAAAUUCAAGAAUGCUAAGUGUAUUCAUUCAAAAGUUUCAAUGACUAAAAGUAGCUUACAGUUCAACAGUAUGUACCAUCUAUAUGGAAUAUCUCUUCCUAAACAUCUGGGAUAAUACCUAUACAAAUAAAAAGAUGAAAUUGUUAUCUUCUACUUCAUACAUGGAUUAACAGAAAGAUUUUUUGUAAAAUCUCAUUUUGAUUACAUCACUGAUAUGUUUGAAUUUCAGUUAUCUCCAAUAUCAAACUUAAACUCAUUAGUGGAAGCAAUGCAGUCCUUCUCUGCUCCCCUUCCCACCUUCUACUCACUAGCUUCUCAUUAACUCUAAUUCAGCAAGUUUUUAUUAAACAAUGAUAAUUUGCUAGACUCUGUGUGAAGUGCUACAGAAAAGGGAAGGAAAAGGAGUAGAUACUACCUCUGUAUUCUAGGAGUUACUAUUUAAUGAAGAAAAUCAAAACAUGUAUAACUAACUCAAGGCAGAAUGUGAUAAAUAACAGUCAAAUCACCCAAUAAGUCAUACGGGAGCUCAGAGGAUGGAGAGUGGCAUUCCCUUUGCGGGGAAAAACAAAAGUAUUUCAGCCUGCUGAGACUCUCUGUUGUAGCAGGUAAUUAUACUCAUGAUGUCCUGGCCAUUACUUUUCCGUUUUGUUUUUUUUUUUUUUUAAGACAGAGUCUCGCUCUUAACUCCCAGGCCGGAGUGCGAUGGCACAAUCUCCACCCACUGCAACCUCCACCUUCCAGGUUCAAGCGAUUCUCCUGCUUCAGCCUCCGGAAUAGCUGGGAUUACAGAAUUUAGCAGAAGGAGCUGCAGACAUUGGAUUCACACAACUAAAAACACAGAAGUUCCAGCUCUCUGACUUUAUGAUCCUGUCCUUCUGGCCUCUCAACAAGAGAGAUGAGAGGUGAAUGUUGCUGAAAUUUGAGGAUCUCCAUUUUGAAGGUCAUCUUUUUCUUCAAAUGAUUGCAGUUUGAAAAAUAACGGGGCUCCUGAGGGAAAGAGGAGCUAGAGAAAGAAGACCUGUGACUAAAAGAUUAAAAUAAAAACUGUUUCAAAG